UUUUUAUUAUUCCAGCAUUAAGUGCUUUGAACAUAAAUUCUAUAAAUUUACUUUUAUAGUCCAUAUAAAGUUUUGACUACAACUAAUAAUGUUACCUUAGCUAACACUUGUAUAGCACUUUAGAAUGCAUUAUCCCAGGUUUCUCAACCUCAACACUGCUGACUUUGGGACAAAUAAUUGGGCCCACCAGGAAGGAAGAAGGGGAUGGAAUACUGUCCUGUAUAUUGUGACAAUAUUAGGCAGAUAUUAGCAUCCCAGCCUCUACCCACAACAUGCCAGCAGCACACAUAAACACACAGCCCCAAUAGUGACAAACAACAGUGUCUCUAGACAGUCCCAAAUGUCCUCUGGGUUAGAUAUAAUCACUCUCAGAGAAGUUUUAAGCAACAUGCCCUAUGUGGCAGCAGUCAGGCAACUUAAAACUGGUGAGUUCAGAUUCUCAACUCAUUCCAUUUAAAUCACACUACUUUUACAUCAGUAUUUCUGUCCCACUGCCUAGCUGAAAUAUCCUUCUAUUUUUGCCAUCCAUUUUAUGAUUCUCAAAUGCUGUUUUUGUGACCCAAAAUUUAUUUUUACCAUUCAUAAUAUACUAAGUCUAUACUUUUAAAGUAGUGUUUCUGAAGUAUUGAUGGCUAUCCAA